AGAGUGAGCACUGACAGCCAGGGCUGCAGAACCGGUGGGAAGGUUCUGCACACUAGUGGCACAUGCAAUAUACACAUUAAAUCUUUUAAAAAUGAUGAAGCACUAUUGAAAAGUCUGAUUUCUACAUGUUAUUAAGGUAAUUGGAGUUCACAAGCGGCUACUAAGGAGGAAAGAUACUAAGAGGAAAGUUCCAGAGGAUUAACCAUUUACAAAGGCACAUUUUUAAAGCAUACAAGGUGCACUGCAAGGGGAUCGAGGGGAAGGGGCUGGAAAUGGUUCUUCCUGGAGAAAAGCAGACUUUCAAUAACCAAGAAGCAAAAUGUGUCAAGAAAUGUUCUACCAAGCAGAAAGAUUGUGGCCUUUCCAGAGAAUACUCUUUAGAAGGGCCUUUCAUGAGAGUGGGCAAUAUUUUUAAUGGAAUUUAGGAAUGGCUAGAAACUACAAUAAAAGAUGGUUA